GGGGAUGUAGCUCAGUGGCAGAGCCUUGCCUAGAAUGCAGAAGACCCUGGAUUUGAUCCCUAGCACUCCA
rnacentral:tRNA from 1 species